rnacentral:lncRNA from 1 species
AUUGCUUUUAAGUUUUAAGCUGCAAAAAACUGUCAAAUUUAAUUAAUUUAAAUUAAUAACAUAAUAACAUAAUUAAUUUAAAUAUUAUUUAUGCAUAAUACCAUUGCUUUUAAAUCAUAUUAAAUCAACUUGAGUUUUAGCAUUUACUAAAUCUCUAAUUUUGCUUCAAACUAUCUUUGAGGUAAGAAAACAUAAGUUAAACCCCACAAGUACACGAACCUCCAAAGUCCAAAAUGACUUUGGAAAAUUAAGCAACAAACCAUAAUAUUCAUACAUUAAUCCAUCAACAUCUUUAAUUUCAUAACAAAAUAUAAAUUGUCCAUCAACAUAUUUAGAAGGAAAGUAUCUUAAAAAGCUACUGAAGAAACAUCAUCAUCCUCAUCGUCGUCAUCGUCCUUUUUGCAACCAAUUUCUAACAUGAAAUAAGAAUAAAUAAUUAGAUAAUCAAAUUGAUGAAAAAAUAAUAUAAAAUUCGAACAAUAAAACGAGAAUAAUAAUUACCUGCUGAAAAUCCCUUAGCUCGCAUCCAAUCAUCCAAGCAAACAACGGAUUGAACUGUUUUUGGCUUAAGUGAACUCCUCAAAGGUGUGAUAACUUUCUUACCCAUGCUAAAAGCCGAUUCGGAAGCUACAGUCGAUAUGGGAAUUGCCAAAAGAUCACGAGCCAAUAAUGAAAGCUCAUUGUAUCGAACUGAACUUUUGCUCCAAUACUCUAAAACAUCUAUUUGACUAUUCAACUCAAGCUCCGGUUCUUCCAAAUAAAUGUCCAACUGUGACUUCUCACUCCUAGUGCUAGAUUCAUUUAAAUAUCGUUUAUAAUCAUCACUCUCAUCAAAAACUUGCUUGGUCUGUUUUCAUACAAGAAGAAAUAACAUAUGGAUAUAAAUGUAGAUAGGCUCCUUAUUAGAGAAUUUAAAACAGUGUUGUACUAAGAGAAUUUAAAACAGUGUUCGAGAGCUCAUUAGGUUCACUAAAUUUAAGGAAUACCUCGACCAAUAGAGAUAUGAUCUGUAAAUUCACAAGAAAUAUCAAUAUUAUACAUAAUAUUAAUUAUAGAUAUUGAUCCCAUGAACUUACAAAAUGUAUUUUUACUAACCGAAACUCUACGAAAAACAAAACCCCGCCACAGUUCAUUUUCAAUUCAUUUUACAUCAACCAACAAAUUCAAUUCAAUUCAUUUUCAGCAACUUUUCAUUCACUUUCUCACCAACCAAAAAAUAGAUCAAACCAAAAAGAAAAGCAGAUGAAAUUUUGACUUUGCAAAAACAUGACCAUGUAAACCUAACUUCAUUCGUAUUUUAAUCUUAAGGAUCUUUAAGAUCAAAUUCCCGUUUGUUGACCAAGAAAACUGAUGACAAGAAGUAUUUAUUACUCAUACAUGUAAACCUAACAUCGUAAUUCAUAUUUUAAUUUUACAUCAAUAAAUUCAAAUUCAAAUUCAAAUUCCGCCACAGUACAAUCAUUUUAAAAAUAUAUACUUAAUAAUUUUUAUUUAAACUUUAAACAGUUUUUCUUUUAAUUUGAAAUUAAACAAUUUAUCUAAAAUCUGAUUUUUUUUCUUGAAGUACUAACUUCAUUAAAAAUGGAAAUCGAAGUACCAUUGAAGUCAUUUCCACUGCAUAUAAUCAAGCUUGAACCGUUGGUCCACGUAAUAAUAUAUAUAAUACUUUUAUUAUUGAAUUUAAAUCAAAUAAAUUUGAAAGAUAAAGGUAGAAAGGACAUGCCAAAAUCUGGAAAAUGAUCAAGCCCAUCUAGACAAUUUUUACAGAAAAGCACUAGCAAAUGACUUCAAACUUCAAAGUUCAAAGAGAACAUGGCAACAAUAUAUUAAAAAUCGAAGCAUGUCACCGUCACUAAACUCAGCAAUAAAGAGCAGCCUUCUCUUAAGUCUUAAAUACAUGAUUAAAAUGAAAACUAAAGUGAAGAAGAAUAGAAAGAAGUUACCUUGAAGGCUUGAACUUGUUGAUUUGAAGGGUUUGGGUCGGACUCGGAAGUUGCAGAAGAAUCGAAGUGAAGAGAACAACAAUGCCACCUAGUGUCGUGGAGUGGAGGUGGAGUGCUGGAGGACCGGAGACCGGAGGUGGGAUGGUGGAUCGGUGGGGACUAUAGGUGGGUUUUCGAUUUGGGGAAAAAAGGGAGGAGGGAAGGGAAGGGGUUAGGGAUUUCUGUCUAAAAUUUUAA